rnacentral:rRNA from 1 species
GAUCAUGGCUCAGGAUGAGCGCUAGCUACAGGCUUAACACAUGCAAGUCGAGGGGCAGCAUGGUCUUAGCUUGCUAAGGCCGAUGGCGACCGGCGCACGGGUGAGUAACACGUAUCCAACCUGCCGUCUACUCUUGGACAGCCUUCUGAAAAGGAAGAUUAAUACAAGAUGGCAUCAUGAGUCCGCAUGUUCACAUGAUUAAAGGUAUUCCGGUAGACGA